rnacentral:lncRNA from 1 species
GAAAAUACAAUACUAGUUGUCAAAUACUUAAGCCUUGGAGAAUUAAUCCUAUUUGAAGAUUUCAGAAAGUUUUUAGGAUUAUUUUUAUAGCAAAAUGAUACCUUCAAGCACUUUUGGUCUCCUAGAGGAUUUCUAAAGCUAUCAUUGGGGUACCCUUACAAAAUUGACAAAACCAAGCUAUAUUCUCUAGAAAUGUGUCCUUUAUUAUAAAGACUGGUUUUCAUUUGAUGAUUGGGGGAGGGUAACUGGUAUUUUUAUCAUUUCAUCAGGAAGCAAAAUUCACACUACAUUUUACAUGUAGACAGAGAUUUGGCAGGAUGAACAGAAGAAUGGAAGUUUCUUCAAGCAAGAGCCAAGCCUUCACAAUCUCCAACAGCAACUCAAACGAUUUCAAGACUGUGUGGGCAGAACAGAAGCCUGUGGGAUGGCAAUGGGUCAGAGCUGCUUAACGAACAGCGUGAAGAUGACCAAAGUUGAAAUAAGAGCCAGAAGUAAAGAUAAAAGGAGAAGUGGCAGCAUAUUGAGACCAGCUCUUCCUCUUAUCAAAGCCUACCUAAGAAAUCAUCUGCAUGGAAGAAAUCUGAGAAGACUUUCUAAGAAAAGCAUUUACCUAACUAGUGUUUACAUAUUAUCACCUCAAAAUACAUACAGCUUGUAUGUUAAUUGGCCAGGACCUGGAUAGUAGAAAAGAAUUGGGAAAACCACUCAAGAAAGGAGAAAACACAGAGACAUAGAAAUUGAAUUGCCAGCUUCCAUCUUGUUCCUCAGAUGAUGAAGUGGGCCAAUCCAGGCCUUCUCUUAUUCACUACUUCAUAACACCUGUGAGAUAUCUUACUGUCUGUGCAGCCUUGUGUUAGGAACUAGGUAUGCAAAAAUGAAUUUGAAGCAGAGGAACUUACUAGCACAUUGAUGCUAGUGAGAUGGUUAGACAAAUGGUUAGGUACUUUCCCUUGUGUUUCCCAGCCUGUCUUAAGAAAUAAGUAAAAGCUUCACAAAGAAGGGAUAUAACUCAUUGGUUUCUCACUUUCCAAAGCCACAGAGAACACAGUAAAUAGAGGUAGAUGCCUAAGAUGUACUUUGUCUUCAUUCAUGAAGUCUUUUAAAUAUUUAGGGUAAUGAUCAAUACAACUAUCUUUUGCCAAUCAAUAAAAAUAAGAUAUCACAAACACAGAACUUCUUCCCAUUUUUUUCAUUAGGGAGGAUCUACUCAGUAGCAGAACUUCUCAACGCUCACCAGCCUAAAAGUAGAUAUUCAGAGCUGCUUAGGGCAGAGAAGUUCUAAUCCUCCACCUGAAGUCAUAUGACUCAUCUGAAGCAGAAGUGGGAAGAAACAGUGAGGCCAGGAAUCUGAAAUUAUGAGCAGCAAAGAAAGUCAUAAUGAUUGUACUGAUGAGUCAUUUGCCAUCUGCUUCUCAUUCAGAAAAGAUAAGUCAAGGUACAGAUAACCAAGAGUAAAGUGUUACCAAGAAAAAGCAAAAUGGACUGUUUUUCUGGAAUGAUAGAAGGAAAGAUGAAGUACAUAAGAAGCUGUCACAAGGGGACCAAUGUAUUCAGAACCCCUCUGAGCAGGCUGGGCAGAUACAAGCUUUGUGAAACCUAACACCUGCAGUAAAUGAUAGAGAAAAGGAAAGGAGGCCUAUACUAGAGAACUAGAAGCCAAAAGACUCAGUAGGUGAGUUCCAGUUCACCAAUUCAUUCUUCCAGUCCCACUUGCUGCCUCAAUUUGCGAUACCAGAGGCAGGAAAAGGCCCUCAUGAGGCCCCACUCUGAUGAGGGAAGAGAAGCUGACAACACACAUAAGGUAUCUUUUUAUGGCUUCACUGAUUCAGCUCUCUGAUGAUCCACUGUGGCUACCUUUUUAUCCAGAAAAAAAAGAACUAUUCUAUGGAAAUGUUCUAUGUUUAGUGGAACUUCUCAUUCUGUUGCUUUUGGUUUAUAUUGCUAUUUUAGAACCUAUCACACCACAUUAUGUGGCUUUGUAUUUGUCUCUCUAACAGAUGGUAAACUGUUUGAGAGCAGGAGCAAUAGCUUAUUUAUUUGUUUCUUUAGUGCCCAGCAAAGUUCUUGCACCAGAAUAGGCAUUGAAAACAUCUUAGUAAAUUGAAGUUGACUGGGCUUCCCCCUUAUAUUUCACUGGUGGCUUGUCAUCCUAUAUAAAUAUAUUAUAGGACUUUGGUUACAAUUCCUGUACAGAAUCCUAUGAAGUUCCAUUGAGAUUUUAGCUGCUCUACUAAAAAACUUAGCUAAAGGAGGGCAGUGGAUUGCUAUUCAUUGAACAUAUAAAUUUUUAUUGAGCAUCUAUUAUAUGCUACGUACAAUUCUUGGGCUUGGGAUACAUUAGUAAACUAUGAUUCUUGCUCUUGUGGAGCCUACAUUCAAAUGGGAGGAAGAAAGAGAAAAUACAUGUAAUAAGUAAACAUGCUAGUAUGUUCAAUGAUGCAUGCCAUAGAAAAGAGAAAAAGUAGAGUAAGAAAUAUCAGUAGUACCAGGAUAUAGUGUUGAGGGUUGGUCAGUUUAAAACACUCAACAAACUAAUCAGAGUGUGCCUCAUUAAGAAGAUAAAAUUUGACCAGACUAGAAGGAGGUGGUGGAGUUUGUCAAGUGGUUAUUUGAGUAAAAAUGUAUCACAUUUUUUUCCCAGCUGCAUAGAGGACUUUGAGCCAAUGCUGCUUUGAGACUCAGAAGAUGUGGUAAGUUUGCCAAAUGGCCAUAACACUUGCUUUUGGCUCACAUGGUAAAUCCAGUGAGUAAAGUUUUAGUCAUUUUGUUACUGGUGUGUGACAUGGGAGACUGAGAACAGGAACAGAGAAAGGAGAAGCACAGAACUCAAGAAUGGGGUGGGGUUGGGAAAGAGAAGGAGUUCUACUCUGAGAUCAGGGAAGGUUCUGGAAACCUUGUGGGUAGUAUGAAGUCAAAAAGUUUGUUAUUUCCUUAAUGUUCUUCCCUGUAAUGAGUUUAAAUUCUCUAUAUUUGGCAUUUUGAACUCACAGAGCUUCUGUGCUGCUACUAAAAGACUUCUUUUUAACUGGCUUUGUCCCUUCAUUCUAUAUUUCUGUGGCAACCAAAAGAGAGCAAUCAAAACUAUAAUUUCUGGCCCAGAAAAGGGAAUUCUAGUUUUGUUCUUUUAAUCCUUGCUCUAUACUAGUCUUAUCUCAUUAUAUCUCUCUGUUCCUUGGGGCUUUUUCAACAUAGCUAAUUAAAACACAGUUGAAAAUUUAUUCAUUCUAUUAAAUAUGUUUAUUAGGUGAUUGAGAGGUUUCAGGUCCUGUCUACAUAUAAAGGACACAAAGAUGAGGACGAUGCAAUUCUAUUCCUAGUGAGAAGCCAUUCUCAAUAACUUGUUGGCAUAUUACUAGACCAGAACAUAAUGACCUCAAGUCACAGAAAAACAGAAUGUUUGUCCUAUUCUAGAAGUAAUCCAGUCAAAAAUAAUACACAUUUUUUGUCAAUGUAUCCUAAAGGAGUGAAACUUAAGAACUAAUUCAUGGUCUUACCAAUGAUUAACUACUGUCAUUGUCUUUCCCAUAAAACUCUGAAACCCUAGCAACAUUCAGCCACUCCUCCUAGUUCCUGUUAGUAAGUCUGUGUUUGACUGAAAGGGCUUAAUCACUUGCAUUUACCACCUAUUCACUUCACCACAAAAAGAGAAGAGGAUGGAAGCUUCCCAAAAGUCAAUUAGGAAGAAUUGGAAACAGUGAAGUGAGGUGAAGCCGAGUCAGGGACAGAGGACAACCUAUAAGCACAGAGAGUAGUGGCAGCCAGGUUGUCCAUGACCACAGACCUCUUGGAGUGGCUCAUUCCGACAGCGUUCUAUGUCCACUGUUGAUUCUACAGUGAGAUCUGCCCAUUUGGGGCUGGUAGUGUGACUUACGUAAGCUGGAGCUCAGUUGUCAGAGAAAUACAAGUUUGCUUCAGCCUUAUAGGUCUUAAGUAAAGAAUACCCCGAAAUUCAAACAGCACAAUAUGUCAACCACAUGCACGUGAUGUUUGGCAUCAUACAGAAUGUUUUUGCAUUGAUGAACAGGUGGCUGCUAACUUGAAAAGGGAUUUCUCUUCUGCAGUGGGAAUUAUAGAUGGGGAGAAGAGGAGGAGAAAAUAAGCCUAUCCUUCACAGACUGCUCCCUUUGCUUUACUCUUUCAGGAGACUCAUCAUUCUCCAGAGGAUUCUAUUUCACCUUUGUUUAAUUGCUGGGCCUCUCCUGUUUCCAUACCCAGAUGAAGUAUUCUUGGAAUUUAAGGUGUCACUUUAGUAGCCUAGCCACAAGUUCCAUGCUCUUUCCUCUGCUCCACUCUUGCUCUUGAAUAAUACUUCUCCUUUGAUACUAAUUUCAGUGUCCUGGUCGAAGCCCCAGAGAAAAUACGGAGCCCUCUGCCCCUGCAUAUCUUUACAGAAGAAG